rnacentral:rRNA from 1 species
GAUGAACGCUGGCGGCGUGCCUAAUACAUGCAAGUCGAGCGAACAGACGAGGAGCUUGCUCCUCUGACGUUAGCGGCGGACGGGUGAGUAACACGUGGAUAACCUACCUAUAAGACUGGGAUAACUUCGGGAAACCGGAGCUAAUACCGGAUAAUAUAUUGAACCGCAUGGUUCAAUAGUGAAAGACGGUUUUGCUGUCACUUAUAGAUGGAUCCGCGCCGCAUUAGCUAGUUGGUAAGGUAACGGCUUACCAAGGCGACGAUGCGUAGCCGACCUGAGAGGGUGAUCGGCCACACUGGACCUGAGACACGGUCCAGACUCCUACGGGAGGCAGCAGUAGGGAAUCUUCCGCAAUGGGCGAAAGCCUGACGGAGCAACGCCGCGUGAGUGAUGAAGGUCUUCGGAUCGUAAAACUCUGUUAUUAGGGAAGAACAAAUGUGUAAGUAACUAUGCACGUCUUGACGGUACCUAAUCAGAAGGCCACGGCUAACUACGU